rnacentral:rRNA from 1 species
GAUGAACGCCGGCGGUGUGCCUAAUACAUGCAAGUCGAGCGCACUGGCCCAACUGAUAUGACGUGCUUGCACUGAUUUGACGAUGGAUCACCAGUGAGCGGCGGACGGGUGAGUAACACGUGGGUAACCUACCUCAUACACAUGGAUAACAUACCGAAAGGUAUGCUAAUACAAGAUGAUAUAAGAGAUUCGCAUGGGUUUCUUAUCAAAGCUCCGGCGGUAUGAGAUGGACCCGCGUCUGAUUAGCUAGUUGGUAAGGUAACGGCUUACCAAGGCGACGAUCAGUAGCCGACUUGAGAGACUGAUCGGCCACAAUGGAACUGAGACACGGUCCAUACUCCUACGGGAGGCAGCAGUAGGGAAUCUUCCACAAUGGGCGCAAGCCUGAUGGAGCAACACCGCGUGAGUGAAGAAGGGUUUCGGCUCGUAAAGCUCUGUUGUUGGAGAAGAACGUGCGUGAGAGUAACUGUUCACGCAGUGACGGUAUCCAACCAGAAAGUCACGGCUAACUACGUGCCAGCAGCCGCGGUAAUACGUAGGUGGCAAGCGUUAUCCGGAUUUAUUGGGCGUAAAGCGAGCGCAGGCGGUUGCUUAGGUCUGAUGUGAAAGCCUUCGGCUUAACCGAAGAAGUGCAUCGGAAACCGGGCGACUUGAGUGCAGAAGAGGACAGUGGAACUCCAUGUGUAGCGGUGGAAUGCGUAGAUAUAUGGAAGAACACCAGUGGCGAAGGCGGCUGUCUGGUCUGCAACUGACGCUGAGGCUCGAAAGCAUGGGUAGCGAACAGGAUUAGAUACCCUGGUAGUCCAUGCCGUAAACGAUGAGUGCUAGGUGUUGGAGGGUUUCCGCCCUUCAGUGCCGGAGCUAACGCAUUAAGCACUCCGCCUGGGGAGUACGACCGCAAGGUUGAAACUCAAAGGAAUUGACGGGGGCCCGCACAAGCGGUGGAGCAUGUGGUUUAAUUCGAAGCUACGCGAAGAACCUUACCAGGUCUUGACAUCUUGCGCUAACCUUAGAGAUAAGGCGUUCCCUUCGGGGACGCAAUGACAGGUGGUGCAUGGUCGUCGUCAGCUCGUGUCGUGAGAUGUUGGGUUAAGUCCCGCAACGAGCGCAACCCUUGUUACUAGUUGCCAGCAUUAAGUUGGGCACUCUAGUGAGACUGCCGGUGACAAACCGGAGGAAGGUGGGGACGACGUCAGAUCAUCAUGCCCCUUAUGACCUGGGCUACACACGUGCUACAAUGGACGGUACAACGAGUCGCAAGCUCGCGAGAGUAAGCUAAUCUCUUAAAGCCGUUCUCAGUUCGGACUGUAGGCUGCAACUCGCCUACACGAAGUCGGAAUCGCUAGUAAUCGCGGAUCAGCAUGCCGCGGUGAAUACGUUCCCGGGCCUUGUACACACCGCCCGUCACACCAUGGGAGUUUGUAACGCCCAAAGUCGGUGGCCUAACCAUUAUGGAGGGAGCCGCCUAAGGCGGGACAGAUGACUGGGGUG